rnacentral:tRNA from 1 species
ACUGAUAUAGUAUAAUUAAUACAAUUAAUUUCCAAUUAAUAAAUUUAUUUAACUAAUAAAAAUAAUA